AAUGGAGGAAACUCUGAUCCAGCAAUGCCGCGUGUGUGAUGAAGGCCUUAGGGUUGUAAAGCACUUUCAACGGUGAAGAUGAUGACGGUAGCCGUAGAAGAAGCCCCGGCUAACUUCGUGCCAGCAGCCGCGGUAAUACGAAGGGGGCGAGCGUUGUUCGGAAUUAUUGGGCGUAAAGGGCGCGCAGGCGGUUUGGAUAGUUAGACGUGAAAGCCCUGGGCUUAACCUAGGAACUGCGUUUAAUACUGCCAGACUAGAGAACUAGAGAGGAUAGCGGAACUCCCAGUGUAGAGGUGAAAUUCGUAGAUAUUGGGAAGAACAUCAGUGGCGAAAGCGGCUGUCUGGCUAGUUUCUGACGCUGAGGCGCGAAAGCGUGGGGAGCAAACAGGAUU
rnacentral:rRNA from 1 species